rnacentral:misc_RNA from 1 species
UAAGCGUGUCGGGAGUUGGAUGAAUCUCCCGUAAAAAAAGCCGUCCAAAACACAACUGGCGAGUAUAGCUACGCCAUGGCUGCUUAGUCUAGGUACUAAGUAAUGUCAUCGUCCCGCAUCCGUCUUCCUGCUCACGGGUGAGUUCGGGGCGUCGAAAGCAGUUAGGAUAGUUCGUGGGGAGCUGUGACCCGCGGGCGAAACUCAAACAGAUAAGGGGAAAUCAAAGGCCUGAUGUGCGCCUGGUUUCCUUCGACAAUCCAAGCAUAGAUACACACGUAGAAAG